rnacentral:rRNA from 1 species
CCUACGGGAGGCUGCAGUAGGGAAUCUUCCACAAUGGACGAAAGUCUGAUGGAGCAACGCCGCGUGAGUGAAGAAGGGUUUCGGCUCGUAAAGCUCUGUUGGUAGUGAAGAAAGAUAUAGGUAGUAACUGGCCUUUUUUUGACGGUACUUACUUAGAAAGUCACGGCUAACUACGUGCCAGCAGCCGCGGUAAUACGUAGGUGGCAAGCGUUGUCCGGAAUUAUUGGGCGUAAAGCGAGUGCAGGCGGUUCCAUAAGCAUGAUGUGAAAGCCUUCGGCUCAACCGGAGAAUUGCAUCAGAAACUGUUGGACUUGAGUGCGGCAGAGGGGGGUAGAACUCCAUGUGUAGCAGUGGAAUGCGUAGAGAUAUGGAAGAACACCAAUGGCGAAGGCGGCUCUCUGGGCUGCAACUGACGCUCAGGCUCGAAAGCAUGGGUAGCGAACAGGAUUAGAUACCCGUGUAGUC